GCAGUCGAGCGGACUGAUGGGAGCUUGCUCCCAUCAGUCAGCGGCGGACGGGUGAGUAACACGUGGGUAACCUGCCUGUAAGACUGGGAUAACUCCGGGAAACCGGGGCUAAUACCGGAUAACUCAUUUCCUCGCAUGAGGAAAUGUUGAAAGAUGGCUUCUUGCUAUCACUUACAGAUGGACCCGCGGCGCAUUAGCUAGUUGGUGAGGUAACGGCUCACCAAGGCGACGAUGCGUAGCCGACCUGAGAGGGUGAUCGGCCACACUGGGACUGAGACACGGCCCAGACUCCUACGGGAGGCAGCAGUAGGGAAUCUUCCGCAAUGGACGAAAGUCUGACGGAGCAACGCCGCGUGAGUGAUGAAGGUUUUCGGAUCGUAAAACUCUGUUGUUAGGGAAGAACAAGUACCGUUCGAAUAGGGCGGUACCUUGACGGUACCUAACCAGAAAGCCACGGCUAACUACGUGCCAGCAGCCGCGGUAAUACGUAGGUGGCAAGCGUUGUCCGGAAUUAUUGGGCGUAAAGCGCGCGCAGGUGGUUUCUUAAGUCUGAUGUGAAAGCCCACGGCUCAACCGUGGAGGGUCAUUGGAAACUGGGGAACUUGAGUGCAGAAGAGGAAAGUGGAAUUCCAAGUGUAGCGGUGAAAUGCGUAGAUAUUUGGAGGAACACCAGUGGCGAAGGCGACUUUCUGGUCUGUAACUGACACUGAGGCGCGAAAGCGUGGGGAG
rnacentral:rRNA from 2 species